GACGAACGCUGGCGGCGUGCUUAACACAUGCAAGUCGAACGGAAAGGCCCCCUUGUGGGGUACUCGAGUGGCGAACGGGUGAGUAACACGUGAGUAACCUACCCUUGACUUUGGGAUAACUUCAGGAAACUGGGGCUAAUACCGGAUAGGAGCUCCUGCUGCAUGGUGGGGGUUGGAAAGUUUCGGCGGUUGGGGAUGGACUCGCGGCUUAUCAGCUUGUUGGUGGGGUAGUGGCUCACCAAGGCUUUGACGGGUAGCCGGCCUGAGAGGGUGACCGGCCACAUUGGGACUGAGAUACGGCCCAGACGCCUACGGGAGGCAGAAGUGGGGAAUAUUGCACAAUGGGCGGAAGCCUGAUGCAGCAACGCCGCGUGCGGGAUGACGGCCUUCGGGUUGUAAACCGCUUUCGCCUGUGACGAAGCGUGAGUGACGGUAAUGGGUAAAGAAGCACCGGCUAACUACGUG
rnacentral:rRNA from 1 species